ensembl:miRNA gga-mir-7483 gga-mir-7483
GCAUGGUGUAGUGACGCAGGCAGAGCUAUGGCCCUGCCAUAAGUACCUGCAAGGCAA